rnacentral:rRNA from 1 species
CCUACGGGUGGCAGCAGUGGGGAAUAUUGCACAAUGGGGGAAACCCUGAUGCAGCGACGCCGCGUGAGCGAAGAAGUAUUUCGGUAUGUAAAGCUCUAUCAGCAGGGAAGAAAAUGACGGGACCUGACUAAGAAGCCCCGGCUAAAUACGUGCCACCGCCGCGGGAAUUAGGAAGGGGGAAACGUUAUCCGGAUUUACUGGGUGUAAAGGGAGUGCAAGCGGCUUGGCAAGUCUGAUGUGAAAGGCUGGGGCUCAACCCCAGGACUGCAUUGGGAACUGUUAGGCUGGAGUGUCGGAGAGGUAAGCGGAAUUCCUAGUGUAGCGGUGAAAUGCGUAGAUAUUAGGAGGAACACCAGUGGCGAAGGCGGCUUACUGGACGACAACUGACGCUGAGGCUCGAAAGCGUGGGGAGCAAACAGGAUUAGAUACCCGAGUAGUC